rnacentral:rRNA from 1 species
UACGGGGGGGGCAAGCGUUGUUCGGAAUUACUGGGCGUAAAGGGUCCGUAGGCGGUUUGAUAAGUCAGUGGUGAAAUCUUUCGGCUCAACCGGGAAAUGGCCAUUGAUACUGUCAGACUUGAAUUAUUAGGAAGUAACUAGAAUAUGUAGUGUAGCGGUGAAAUGCUUAGAGAUUACAUGGAAUACCAAUUGCGAAGGCAGGUUACUACUAAUGGAUUGACGCUGAUGGACGAAAGCGUGGGUAGCGAACAGG